CGGGACGGGUGAGUAACGCGUAGGAACCUGACGCGGCGAGUGGGGGAUAACGCUGGGAAACCGGCGCUAAUACCGCAUGUGGUCGCAAGAAGAAAGCAGCAAUGCGCUGUGUGAGGGGCCUGCGUCCGAUUAGCUAGUUGAUGGGGUAAAGGCGUACCAAGGCACCGAUCGGUAGCUGGUCUGAGAGGAUGAUCAGCCACACUGGGACUGAGACACGGCCCAG
rnacentral:rRNA from 1 species